CAGUUUUCAUGACAAAAGUGGUGGAAUAUGGCCUUAAUGGGAGAGUGCACAAGAAACCUUGCUGAAGGCCCGAUCCAAAUAUUUUUCAGAAUUUUGUUAAUCAGGUUUUACAAUCCAUUAUUGAUCCAAUUAACCUCUAAAUUAUUCACUUGAUACCAAAUUAAAACUCAGAUUAAUCAAACUAAAUGGAAAGGGAAUUAGGUUUUUACACUGUGACGAUUGAAAUCAUAAGCUCUCCUCCUCUCUCUUACGGCCGCGGCGGUGCUCCUUCUUCUCCAAUCAAAAAUCAUGUUCGCCGCCGUGAACUGCCGAUGGACAACGUCAUCUCAUCGUCCUCUCACUCCUUGUCAUCUCUCACUAUGAACUCAGUUAACUCGUCAUCACCUCCCCGAUCCAAUUGAUUUGUUUCGUUCUUGAACCGAUCGGUUGUGUAAAGAUAGUAUAAAGCGGAAUCAACGAAGAUGAAAAUUGAAUCGUGGAGAUGACUGAUGAAUGAUUCAUUGUCGAUAGUUGAAGAUCGAUGAAGAGGAUUUGAGAUUGGAGAAAGAUUUUCUUAGAGAAAUUUGUUACAGAGAUUGAUUUAUAGUGAUGUGAAGAGGAGAAGGAGGUUCUAAGAUUUUGUUCAAAGUUGAAGAGAGUGAAGAGGUUGAAGGUUGAAGAGAGUGAGAUGUCUGAAUCGGUUAGAGAUUGAUGAAGAUUGAAGCGUGUGUUGAACGAUUCUGAGUUUUUUCUUGUUAUUUACAAUGAUGGAGGUGAUGAAGAUGAUGAGGGUGAUGAAGGUUCGAUGAUGGAGAUUGGAAGAGGUUUGAGGAUGAUUGAAGAAUUGAUGAUGAUUUUUGUGAUCGUGAAUGGAGGAAGACGAAGGUGGAGAAGUUUGUUAUGAUUCUGUUAGAAGUUUGUUACAGGUUCUUGGAUUGCAUUGUGUUGAACCGGUUCUUACUUUCACGCUGUUGCUUAGUUUGAUGGCGGUUUAUUUCGGAACUGCUUAUUCAUUAUUUUUGUGGUUCGGAACCGCUUAUUCAUUAUUUCUGUGGCAGUUUUGUCUCAUUUCUUGGCUGCUAGUAGGAUGCUGCAAGUGGCUCGUGGAAUUUUGAUGGAGCAUGAAGGGAAAAUCCUUUUUUUGGUAUAAUUUUUGUAAUAUUGAUAUAGUGGGCUUUGUAAUUUGAAUGGGCUUGGACAUUGUAAUGAAUAAUGAUGUAAUGUAUAUUUGAAUCUUAUAAUUUAUGUGCUAGAAACUA